CCGGCAUAGAAGCCCAAAGUCUGGGCAUGAGAUAUAAACCAUGUGAAGAAGCUUGCAUGCACAAAGAAGCUCGAUUUAUUGGUGCCACACGAGUUCAUGCAGAAAAAAAAGUUUGACCGUAUCGACGCCUGCGAAUGAAGCGGUUGGUGACUGGGGAUGAUAAACGUGAAGCGCAAACUGUCGUGGUGAAACGGCCCAGACGGUAGCCAAGCCCGGACUGACGGCCAGGAAGGUUCUGCUGUGUGUUUGGUGGGAUUGGCAGGGUUAUGGUUAAACGCUCAAUUGGGACCUGUACCGCCAGCAAUGGGACCGCUUAACCCAUUCGACCCCGAAGCUGCCUGUGAGCAAUUUCAAAAGUUUAACGGCUAUCGGUAGUCGGUGCUUUUGUUUUUGUCUGCUUAUUCUUCGAGAUAACGGUGCUUUGAUGUGUAUACUUAGAAUGUAAGCAAAAAAAUUCUAGUUUGCGCAUCAUUUGACGAAAUUAUUUGGAAUGUGCUGGACGUGCCUCGCGUAAAAAGUGAUUGUUGUAUUGUGAGGUAUAUUGAAAAGAAAGUGAUUUACUUUUUAAUUACGCAUUAAAAGUUGAAGAAUCUGAGGAAUUUUCAAAGUAAUAAAGUUGCUUGUGAGCAACCUUGGGCCAUUGCACCACCAAAAUAUGAGACCAAAAGAAAAAGGUUUAUCAAAUGAUGAUAUUGAGAGAAUUGUCAACUUCGAUUGGGAUGUCUCCAGUGACGAAGAAAGUGGUGAUGAAAUGGAAGACAUCUCUGGAAUGUUGGAGAAUAAUUUAAAAAGUAUAUUGGAAAGGGGAGAAUCAAUAGAAUUUGAGCAUAUUGAAAAUUUGAUUGAUGAAAAAGCAUUCAAGAAAAUAGUGUUGUGGCUGAUAAUUGCUUUGAAAAAGUUGAUCCCAAAACACUUAAGUGGAGAAAUAGGCCAUUUCAAGCUCCAGGGUGUAUUUGGGAAGAAGAUAGUAAUCGCCAAAUCGAUGAAGUGAAGACCCCUGUAGAGUAUUUCUGCAGCUUUUUUCACAAUAAUGUUAUUGAUUUAAUUACAAAUCAAACUAAUUUGUAUGGGUUGCAAGAGCACGGCAUAGAGCUGCAAUGUACUGGAGAUCAAAUAAAAGGUAUAUCGGAAUUUUAUUGUACUUGGGUGUCAUAAAAGUACCUCAAUUUAAAAUGGCUUGGUCAAAAGAAUACAAGCUUUCUGCUAUAUCGGAUGCAAUGCCACGAGGAAAGUUUGAAAAAAUCAAACAAUGUUUACAUUUCAACGAUAAUACAAAACAACUAAAAAAAGGUGAUUUGAACUAUGAUAAACUGUACAAAAUACGCCCUUUACUUGACAUUCUCAAAAAAAGUUUUGGUAAACUACCCCAAGAAGAACAUCAAAGCGUUGAUGAGCAAAUCAUUGCGUACAAAGGCCAAUCGUCUUAUAAGCAAUACAACCCAGCUAAGCCUCACAAAUGGGGUUUAAAAAUGUUUACGCGCGCUGGAACAUCUGGAUUAGUUUAUGACUUCACACUGUAUGUUGGCGAAGGCACUUGCCCAAACUUUGGAUUGGGAAUAUCUUCAGAUGUGGUAUUAUACUUAUCAAAAGGUCUUCCCAAAGGCAAACCUUUCAAGCUGUAUUUUGACAAUUGGUUUACGUCAGUUAGUCUCUUGGUUGCAUUGAAGGAAAAUGGCAUAUUUGCAACCGGAACUAUCCGCAAAAACCGCAUAAGCAGCUGUAGACUUCUUUCAGAUGCAGAAUUGAAAAAACGUGGAGAGGAUCAUUUGAUACAAAAUAUGAAGUAAACAAUAAUCUGAUAUGCGUCAAAUGGUUUGAUAAUAAGUCGGUUCAACUACUAUCUUCGUAUGAAGACCAUCAGCCAGUUGGAAUGUGCAAACGAUGGAGUCCUAAAGAAAAAGUUUACAUUGAUGUUGUAAGGCCUGCUAUCGUAGGCUCUUAUAACAAGGGUAUGGGAGGAGUAGACUUAGCGGACAUGCUUAUGGAGCUAUAUAAAAUAAACCACCGUUCAAGAAAGUGGUACAUUAGAAUUUUUUAUUGGUGCUUGGGAACAUCAAUGACAAAUGCAUGGCUGCUGUAUAGAAAAAAUUUUCAUUUUCUAAACCCAAAUCAAAAGUAUAUACCGCUCAUCAAAUUUCAAAUGGAAGUUGCUCAUGAGCUGCUACAAUGUACUUACUCUACUUCAUUUGAAAAAAAGAGGGGUCGGCCAUCAAAUAUGCAAAGAGAAAACUCAAUAAUAUCUUUGGGUUCUCCAACUAGCAGUGUGUCUUCCAAUCAAUCCAAAAAAUACAAGUUUCAGCCAAAUCCUACAAAUUCUAUGCGUUACGAUUGCAUGGAACAUUGGGUGGUAUUUACUGAAAAAGGGCGUUGCAGACUGUGUAAGACAGGAACCCCAAUGUCAAAAUGUAUUAAAUGUAAAGUACACCUAUGCUGUAACAACCAUUAAAAUUGUUUUAUGUCUUACCAUACUUAAAAAUUGAAAAUAAACAAAAAUAACCAUCAACUAAAAAUGUAUUCUUUAAUAUACACUAUGGCCCAACGUUGCCCACAAGCAACAUCCGGUAGCGCCCAAACUAGUGGGGGUGGGGAGUUCAAACUUUACUCAAAUACUGCUUGGCCCAAUACAAACAGAAUACAAAAAAAAAAAUAUUUUUUUUUCGACAGGGAAAAAGUUGGGGUCGAAAGGGUUAAAGGCAGCAUUUAUGCAAAACAUCCAUCUUUGAUCAACAGAGACCGAGUUGUCUUCCAUCAGUACAAUGCCAGGCAAUACACAUUUUGAUGACGCUCCAGAACCUCCGGGAGCUCAUAUCGGAGGUUCUUUUGCAUAACCACCUGUUUCCGGGAGCUCAUAUCGGAGGUUCUUUUGCAUAACCACCUGUUUCCGUUCAUGCCGAACGAGCUUGAUAAUCGGAGUUUGAACACAGAAAAUACCUGUGAAAAUUUGUUCUACAAAUUUUUGGCAAUAGGCAAGCUAACUUCUAUAAGAGGCGCAUUUUGAAAUUAGCAUUUGGUUGAUACAAGUCAUUAAACAAAACGGCGCAUAUUUCACCUUAAUAGCAAGAUUGUAACCAAUUUUAUAAAUGAUUGAGAAUUAAACAAAAAUACCGCUGAACAUUUUGACACCCUUGUAUUUAGUGGGGUCUAAAAGGUUUUAAUUAUGACCUGAUGUAGUCAAGUGAGACGAGCAUAGAUGACAACAAUUGUUUCGUUUGAAGAUAGUUUUUGCCGAAAAACAACCAGAGCAAGCGACCAGACACGAGUACAUAAUUUUUCAUCAUGUAGUCAUGAUAUUCAUAUUUCUACACCGGUUGAAAAAACAAUUUGGAUCAACUCUGUGGCCAACUUUCCAGUUAUUGAUUUCGAAAUCACAGCCGUAUAGUCCAGACAUUGCCCCUUCUUUUUAGCACUUAUAUAAAAAUCCCUAUCGGUAAAUCGGUUCCCUUUAAAACAAGGUAUCAAACAUUGGAUAAAAUAUUUUGGCACGGAAUUUUUUUUAACGUUGUCGAUCGGACGACUAUAUCAUACAGCUUCAGGGUUGGGAUGUACAUAGAUAGUUGUACCUAGGUAUGCACCUAGAUAAUUGAUAUCCAUCACAAGACUGCGAUAUUAUUAAAACAGCGGAUUGCCGGAGUUAUCUUCCGUUCUUAAUUUAAUUAAUUAUUUUUUUCAGUUUUGUAUAUCAGCUGUAUUAUAGUUUUCUGAUCUGGCCGUUCCAAUACACAACUUGCAAUAAGAAUGGGUCUUCUGGGAAAAUGUUAUUAAGAUGGAUUUUAAUCUGAGACACUAUUAGAUCGACUGGUAAUGCUGUCUCCUUUACUUCGUUGCAAACAUCUGACUGAAGUUUUAAUACCGCCCUGCACACAGGAUCCAUGUAUUUUGGGGUACUGGUUUCGAAAAAAAGUCAAAGUUGGCGACAAUUGCCAUACUUAACAAAAGUUGGAGAUCAAGUUGCAACCAAAUUUGUAUGUUUAGCUGCUUAUUGCGUAAAGCUGAUACUUUACGAAAAAAAAUCCAAAAACGGUUGCCUUCAAUCCGCCCUUUUUUAAGUGACCGCUCAAUAAUCUGGACCGGUCUGGCAUCACCAAACUCUUAUCGAUAUUUAACAACACCAGGGACCGAAAUGAUUAAUAG